ensembl:lncRNA
GCAGGAUCCUGGUGGUUUCUGACCCGUAGCCAGAGCCGUUCCUGCCCCCCGGUAUAUUCAUCAACUCAGGAAUACAUCACUGGGGCUGUGACAGACAGGAAGGCAAACAAGGAAACGCAGGUGUCGGGCUGCGCACGGGCUGCACGCACAGUGGGGCGCAAUCAGGAAGUCGUUAAGGAAGUUUCUGGCUGCGCCUGGGGAGACGGGUCAGACCCAGUGUGCGUUUCUGGACUGAUUUUGCUUCUCUCAGCAGCAGUCGUCCCUUGACCUGUCUCGGAGUUGACGUGGCGAGUGGCUCAGCUCGCCGUGCCGCCCGGGAGCCGGCGCUGCGGUUGUUUCCGCUCAUGAGGCGAAGAUGUGACGGCCUGCUCGGACACGCUGCUUUGGCCGUCAUCAACCUGGUGAAGAUGCUCUCGUCUCCGGUUUGCCCCCGGCUGCUUGCCGGUCCCCCUGCCCAAGGUCACCUUCCCCUGGUCAACGUGCACAGCAUCAUAUGCAGCCAGUCCCUAACCCAGUCCUGCCAAAACGGGCCUGGUUAUAAAUACUUCUCACAGUAUUUUUUUUAAGAAGGAUCCCCUGGAAGACGAAACCUCAUCUGUCAUGUUAAAUAACUUGAGUCUUGACUACCUGACCCAGAUGACCUGGUACAAAUUAUACAUAGUACCAAGGCUCAAACUGCCCCAGAGCUGUAACUCCCCGGGGUGUUUUCCCUGCAACCUCUGACUCAAGGGAGGGGAGCAGAAGUUGCGCCAGCAGGUCGUUCUCCACCACCAACAUCCUAAGGAAAACUGAGGCAGAGAGGAGUCAAGCUGCACAUCCGUGGUCAUGCUAGAGCUGGGCCAGCUCUGCCGCCCGCUGCGGACACUGUGCGAGGUGAUGCUGCUCCAGUAAUUGCAAUGCAGGAAGCUGAUGUAUCUGUGUCAGCAGGAUUAAUCAGAUGAGCGCAACCUGCAAGACAGGAGUAGUUAAGGUCUUGAUGCUGGCACUGAAAACUGGGGCUGUGCGCACUACUGAGGUCAUUGCCGCACACUCGGCUUUCCCCGUGAGAGUUCGCUGGGACCCAAGGACUGCACAACAGGGUUUUCUAAGUCCCCAGCACUGCACCUCUUUCAAGCCUUCCUGUUCUGGCUCUUUCACAAAAAGAAGAAACGUCAGAUUCUCAGAGGAUAAACUGGGGCUCCAACAAACACCAGGGCUGAGAAGGUACCUAAUUAAUUUACAACUGAGAUUGCUGCUGUCCACAGUGAUAUCACAGAGAUGCAACUAGUUUACACCCCGGGUCUAGUGUAUAUAAUCUGAAAAGUGGCAAUAUUUGCCAGAUUGAAGCACAAGGGGAGAUGCGGUCACAAAUAACACCUCGGGUUAUCGCGUUCAUCUUUGGUAAGCUCAGCUGGAGUAUGAGGCCUGCAAGCAUUCAGGUGCCAUGUAGGUUGCCAUUGUGUUAAAAAGCUGUUUGAUCCCGGCUGAUGACUGCGAUGUUUAUAUGGGAAUCAGGCCAUAAAGUUCUCAAAUGCAGUCAGCAGAUGGUUGGUCUUCUCCUCCUUCAGGCCAUAAAGUUCUCAAAUGCAGUCAGCAGAUGGUUGGUCUUCUCCUCCUUCCACUAUUGAUCUGAUGUACAACCUUACGGACAUCUCUUAACUAACCCCAAGUCUCCAUGUAUCCAUUUCUGUGGUGCUGUUUCAGGAGCUUAAGUGGUUGGUUCUGCCAGCUACUUUAUCACAUCACUAUUUAAUUUACUUUCUCUAUCAGAAAAAUGUAAAAGGAGGGCAUUCAUCUUAAACCGUUCUAUGCUUUGGUUGCGGGCUUCUUUGUUUAUCAGCUGCUGCGUUUCAAACUCCAUUGGAUAGGAACGUUUGUUGCUCAAGGACUUGAUUCAUGAGAUGAAAUUGCAUAAUGACUCUGUACUAGCUCUGGGCAGAGCCUGAGACAUCGCAGGCUGCUGACAAGAAUAAGCCGCAAGCCCCAGAAGCGGCACAAAAUCAUGGCUUUUUCACAACAAGCAGCAGCAGGAUAACGAUUCUGACCUUCGUCCUGCCCCUCGUGAAAUCGGAAAGAAAACCCGCCGACUUCAGGGAGUGAGAGGUUCUUUCUCAGCCCUCGCUAAUUAAAUGUACGCUUUGCAGCAUCGCUAAUACGGUACGCUAAUAAUAAUAAGGCAUCGCUAAUACGGUACGCUAAUAAUAAUAAGGCUGGUGUCAUGACUUUGGGGACCUAGAGAAAGAUAUCUGAUUCCUUGGCCAUGUUAAGGCUAAAUCUGUGACCUUUCGUUUUCAAGCCAGCAGAGUCCGCGUCCCUCCUCCUCCUCCAUUUCAGCUCCCUCAUCGUCAACGGACGCGCGCAAAUCACUGCUCUCGCGGACCCGAAUUUCACUNNNNNNNNNNNNNNNNNNNNNNNNNNUGAGCGGCAGAUCUCCGUCUGCAGAGCCCCCAGUUUCCUGAGACAACACGUCAUUCGCUCAAAACCCAAUUUACUGCCAGCGGUAACGUCUCAGUGACCCCUGCCACGGAGAGGAACUCGUUUCUGCCCUAGAAAAGCGCUUUUUUCAGCUCAGCGCUGAGGCCCGCUUGAAAACGUUAAGGCAGGGGAAACACGCGCCAGUUCCCUCGCCAACGCAGAUGUCCCGGCGACGUUAGCCUCGACGAACGUACUUCUUUCACAUGGCGUUUACGUAAGCCUCAGUAAAAGGAAAAAAUAAAAUAAAAUAAAAAUCUGCA